GAUGAACGCUGGCGGCGUGCCUAAUACAUGCAAGUCGAGCGAACAGACGAGGAGCUUGCUCCUCUGACGUUAGCGGCGGACGGGUGAGUAACACGUGGAUAACCUACCUAUAAGACUGGGAUAACUUCGGGAAACCGGAGCUAAUACCGGAUAAUAUAUUGAACCGCAUGGUUCAAUAGUGAAAUACGGUUUUUCUGUCUCUUAUAGAUGGAUCCGCGCCGCAUUAGCUAGUUGGUAAGGUAACGGCUUACCAAGGCAACGAUGCGUAUCCGACGUGAGAGGGGGAUCGGACAAACUGGAACUGAGACACGGACCAGACGACGACGGGAGGCAGCAGUAGGGAAUAGUCCGCAAUGGGCGAAAGCAUGACGGAGCAAAGCCGCGUGAGAGAUGAAGGUCUUCGGAUCGUAAAACUCUGUUAUUAGGGAAGAAAAAAUGUGUAAGUAACUAUGCACGUAUUGACGGUAACUAAUAAGAAAGCAACGGCUAACUACGUG
rnacentral:rRNA from 1 species